AUUCUCGUCCCUUUUCGGUGAACAAGGAUUCAAAAUGGUAUAAUUUGUGAACUUGUUGAAUGUGAAACGGUGCAAGAAAGGAUUUGACGUUGGAAGUGAUUCGUUUCAGUGUUCGUUUCUUAUUGGGGGGAAUAUAACUGUGGAGAAUUCGAGAAGAAACGAAGAUAGCGAAAGAAAAGAUACUUUAUCGUGCGUUUCCAACCUGCGGAAGUUCCGCGAGACUCUUCCACGCCUCGAGGCUGAAUCUUGGCGGAUGGAAAUGGAAACACAGCACGUUUGCCAACUAUCCGGCCGCGGGCGAUAUUCGAGCGGGAAGCACGAAUUUAUGCCAUCGCGACCUCCACAAGACGACGAGGAUCAAGUCUGAAUAAUUGGAUCGACUCUCAAUUGAACUUCCGGCCCUCUGCUUUUGAUUAUAUUGCUCCUUAUUAUCUGCAAUUAACGAUGAUUAAACGUUAUCGUUCCGUUUGAAGCGAUCGUGUGAUGCUUUCACGCGUUGUUUCACGUUUGUGAUUUUAUAAUUAAGAUUUGGAAAAGUUGAUGGCGAGUUUAGAUUGUUUUUGCAGCGAUGCGUUAAUUAUUUAACGAUGGUUAAACAUGAUCGUUCCGUUUGAAGCGAUCGUGUGAUGCUUUCACGCGUUGUUUCACGUUUGUGAGUAAGAUUUGGAGAAAUUGAUGGCGAGUGUGGAUCGUUUUUGAAACAAUUCGUUAAUGAUUUAACGA